rnacentral:rRNA from 1 species
GACGAACGCUGGCGGCGUGCUUAACACAUGCAAGUCGAGCGGUAAGGCCCUUUCGGGGGUACGACGAGCGGCGAACGGGUGAGUAACACGUGGGUGACCUGCCCUUAGCUCUGGGAUAAGCCUGGGAAACUGGGUCUAAUACCGGAUAUGACUCCAUGACGCAUGUUGUGGGGUGGAAAGCCUUGUGCGGCUAGGGAUGGGCCCGCGGCCUAUCAGCUUGUUUGGNGGGGUGAUGGCCCUACCAAGGCGACGACGGGUAGCCGGCCUGAGAGGGCGACCGGCCACACUGGGACUGAGACACGGCCCAGACUCCUACGGGAGGCAGCAGUGGGGAAUCUUGCGCAAUGGGCGAAAGCCUGACGCAGCGACGCCGCGUGA